UUCCGGUUGAUCCCGCCGGAGGUCACUGCUAUCGGGGUUCGAUUAAGCCAUGCGAGUCGAGAGGGUUCAGACCCUCGGCGGACUGCUCAGUAACACGUGGAUAAUCUGCCCUAUGGUGGAGGAUAACCCCGGGAAACUGGGGAUAAUACUCCAUAAGUCAGGAGUACUGGAAUGUCUCCUAACUGAAAGUUUCGGCGCCAUAGGAUGAAUCUGCGGCCGAUUAGGUAGUUGUUGGGGUAACGGCCCAACAAGCCCGUAAUCGGUACGGGUUGUGGGAGCAAGAGCCCGGAGAUGGAAUCUGAGACACGAUUCCAGGCCCUACGGGGCGCAGCAGGCGCGAAAACUUUACAAUGCAGGAAACUGUGAUAAGGGAACCCCGAGUGCCCGUACACGCGGGCUGUCCCGGUGUUUAAAACACAUCGGAAGAAAGGGCCGGGCAAGACCGGUGCCAGCCGCCGCGGUAAUACCGGCGGCUCGAGUGGUGACCACUUUUAUUGGGCUUAAAGCGUUCGUAGCUUGAUUUUUAAGUCUCUUGGGAAAUCUCACGGCUUAACUGUGAGGCGUCUAAGAGAUACUGGGAAUCUAGGGACCGGGAGAGGUAAGAGGUACUUCAGGGGUAGAAGUGAAAUUCUGUAAUCCUUGAGGGACCACCGAUGGCGAAGGCAUCUUACCAGAACGGCUUCGACAGUGAGGAACGAAAGCUGGGGGAGCGAACGGGAUUAGAUACCCCGGUAGUCCCAGCCGUAAACUAUGCGCGUUAGGUGUGCCUGUAACUACGAGUUACCGGGGUGCCGAAGUGAAAACGUGAAACGUGCCGCCUGGGAAGUACGGUCGCAAGGCUGAAACUUAAAGGAAUUGGCGGGGGAGCACCACAACGGGUGGAGCCUGCGGUUUAAUUGGAUUCAACGCCGGG
rnacentral:rRNA from 2 species